AAACUAGAGCACUCAAAGGAAACUCAUGUGGUCACAGAAAGAAUGUACAAACUCCUCACAGACAGCACCUGUAGUCAGGAUUCAACCCAGAUCUCUGGUGCUAUAAGGCAGCAACUGUGCCACCACAACAUGUUAAGAACACGUCAGGUUGCUUUAAGCUGUUUGCCACAGUAAUCUGCCAUGUGACAGGAAGUAUUUGUCAUGUGCUGGAAGUUGCUUGUUCAUAAGUAUAAAGGAGACAGUUCCAUUACAGAGAUAAACUUUGGACUGGGUUGGACUUGGUGCAAAGGACCAUAAAUACAGAAAGUAUGAUUAUAAAUUUGCUGCUACCAUGGAUUUGUAACAGUGGAAGGGAUGUAAAAACAUUGUUAUGGUAUCUUUUGAGAACUGCCUGUUUCUUACAUUGGUAGACUUUGCCUUCAGACUAAAAUUAUGACUGGGCAGUGUCAAGAACUACUGAAGACUCUUGGAUUUGCUGUUACCAGGAGCAGCAGAGGGCUUGUAAGAAGUUCUUGUUCUGGAUAAAAUCAUUUUUUAGUAGCGAGGUGGAAAAUCAGGUUGUAUAGAUUUAAAAUGCAGACAUAAAAUGCUGAAAUAUUCACCAGGCCGGGCAGCAUCAGCAGAAAUGUUGUUUGCGAUGUUUAAAUCCUAUAAAAGUAAAAUUAAUGCUUUUUUGGUAACAAUCACCUGCCGUGACCUUGUAAGAAGAUUGGUGGAACACCUAGCCGAAUAACAAACACCUGUUUGAACCAUUCAAUAUGGUUUAUUUAUAUGUAAAUAAGUUAUGUGAGUAUCUAACAAUCACACAUAACAAGCAUGCAAAGUACACAGUGAAAGUUUGUUCAGUUGCUUCUGAAAGAUUAUUGAAAUGAAAACUUACAAGUACCUCAAGAUGGGUUUAAAUACCAUUUCCAAGUGAACUACAUCUAGCAGCAUACAUUGCCACAAUAAAUAACUUGUAUUUGCUCUGGAAAUAAGGUGAAGAAUUCAUGAUUUGAAACUCCGAUUGAGUUACUGAAUGUUACUAAUUGUCACCACAGCAAACCUUCACAGCCAGAGAUAGAAAAUAAAGGUCAAUGUUUUCUUGGAUGCCAAGUGAGGCAGUAAGGUACAGGCAGAUGUUGUCUCUAAUGUGUGAAAUUUAAGUGCCACUUCUGUUCUUUAAAGGUAUAUAGAAGCAAAUAGUAGUGAGAACAUGGAUACUGAAUGCUAAUGGAAAAGAGCAUAAAAAGAGAUUGGCUGGUACCUUUUGCACACUUACUAUGGUGGUAGCCCAACAGAAAGUUAUGUGUGCCCUUCACAAAAGUAAUAGGGAUACUGAAGAUUUAAGGGCCUGUCCCAUUUGGGCGUCAUUUGCGCCUUAUUUACGCGUCAUGUUGAAAAUUGGUCGACGCAUCGUGACGCGUGGGUGGUGCGUGGGUGACGCACGCAUAGCGCAUGGUGAGGCGUGGAAUCGCAAGUUGUGGCGCGCAGUAUCACGCGGCGCUCCAGGAUUUUGUGGCGUACCAAAAUCCUCGCGCACCACCUGCGUGACAUAUCACUUACGCAUGCUGAUGCAUUGGUUAUGCACGCUGACGCAUUGGUGUCGCACGCUAACGUCCCGACGUCGCAUGCAUAUCGCGUGGUGACGUCACCGUGCAUCAACGUCCGUAAAUAUGCAUUGCCGCGCGCCACCCAUAUGCUGUCGGCCCGCCUUUUACGCGUCAUGUGAGCGCCGCAUCGUGUCACAACCCGGAUAUAAAGCGUGCGAGUUUUGAAAUUUUUGACUCACCGGAGUACUUGCCAGGAAGUUCGAACUACAUCGCGAAUUGCUCCUAAAAGAAGCAGGGCCCUCAGGAACAAAGUUCAAAAGAAGCCAGCCAUGCAGGAGCAGAACCAGGUGAAGCAGAUUGAGGUCCAGGAGGAUCCAGCCCCUGUUCCUAGCCAUGCUGCUGCUCCCGCUCCUGCUCCUGCCCCUGCUCCUGCCCUAGCUCCUGCCCCAGCUGCGGAAUGGGACUCUGAUUUGACUCAGGACACUGAUGCCUCAGCUGGGUCACUAAUUAAGAAGAAGAAGAGGCUUAUGGUAACAAAGCCUUAUGAUUUUAGCAGGGAAGAAGAGGGGGACCUGGUAGAUUGGUAUCAGGCCCACCCAGAGUUGUAUGGCAAAGUCCACCGGAAUUUCAGGAGCACGGAUCUUCGGAAUUCGCUGCUGGAAAACAAGGCGAAGGAGUUCUCUGGCUGCAGUUAUGACCAACUGUGCCAAUGGUUCAAAAGCCAGAGGAGAAGGUUCGGCUGUCGCACAGUCUGCAUAAGUCUGGCUCUGCCAGUAAGCCGGUGACUGACAGACAGCAGUGGAUCAUGGAGAAAUGGGGGUUUGUGCAGAACCACAUAGUUCCAGUGGAGAGGAAAGAGAGCUCCAAGAAGUUUAUCAAGGAUAAAUGCCCAUGCGUCAUUUCUAGUGAUGAUGUGCCGGAUCCUCUUGAGGGACCCUCUGGGUCCAGCACUGUUGCCAAACAGCAAGCGGAUGCCGGCACGCACAACUGCGCCUGAAUGUGAAGAGGCUGGAGAGCAAAGUCAGCGGGAGGUGUUC